rnacentral:rRNA from 1 species
AAUCAACGCUGGCGGCGUGCCUCAGACAUGCAAGUCGAACGAGAAAGUCCCCUUCGGGGGAGUAAGUAAAGUGGCGCACGGGUGAGUAACACGUAGGUAAUCUACCUUCGGGUGGGGAAUAACCCAGGGAAACUUGGGCUAACACCGCAUAAUGCAGCGGCACCACAUGGUGACAGUUGUUAAAGCGGGGGAUUUUCGGACCUCGCGCCUGAAGAGGAGCCUGCGGCGGAUUAGCUAGUUGGAAGGUAACGGCUUACCAAGGCAACGAUCCGUAGCCGGCCUGAGAGGGCGGUCGGCCACACUGACACUGACAUACGGGUCAGACUCCUACGGGAGGCAGCAGUCGGGAAUAUUGCGCAAUGGGGGGAAACCCUGACGCAGCGACGCCGCGUGGGUGAUGAAGG